UACGUAGGGUGCAAGCGUUGUCCGGAAUUAUUGGGCGUAAAGAGCGUGUAGGCGGCCCGGUUAGUCCGCUGUGAAAGUCAAAGGCUCAACCUUUGAAUGUCAGUGGAUACUGCCGGGCUAGAGUCCGGAAGAGGCGAGUGGAACUCCUGGUGUAGCGGUGGAAUGCGCAGAUAUCAGGAGGAACACCGGUGGCGAAGGCGGGUCUCUGGGCCGAUACUGACGCUGAGGAGCGAAAGCGUGGGGAGCGAACAGG
rnacentral:rRNA from 1 species